GGACACGACUCUCGACAAUGGAUAUCUCGGCUCUCGCAUCGAUGAAGAGCACAACGAAAUGCGAUACGUGGUGCGAAUUGAAAAAUCCUGCGAACCAUCGAGUCUUUGAACGCAGUUGCGCCAGAGGCCAGUCGGCCAUCAAGU
rnacentral:rRNA from 1 species